rnacentral:rRNA from 1 species
AUUGAACGCUGGCGGCAGGCCUAACACAUGCAAGUCGAACGAGUGGCGGACGGGUGAGUAAUGUCUGGGAAACUGCCUGAUGGGGGGGGAUAACUACUGAAAACGGUAGCUAAUCCCGCAUACCAUCAGAUGCGCCCAUGUGGGGUUAGCUUGUUGGUGGGGUAACGGCUCACCAAGGCGACGAUCCCUAGCUGGUCUGAGAGGAUGACCAGCCACACUGGAACUGAGACACGGUCCAGACUCCUACGGGAGGCAGCAGUGGGGAAUAUUGCACAAUGGGCGCAAGCCUGAUGCAGCCAUGCCGCGUGUAUGAAGAAGGCCUUAGGGUUGUAAAGUACUUUCAGCGGGGAGGCGUUACCCGCAGAAGAAGCACCGGCUAACUCCGUGCCAGCAGCCGCGGUAAUUC